rnacentral:lncRNA from 1 species
CCAUAAUAGAUCAAAUCCGCCUCGGGGGUCCCAGCGUGCGAAUUCCGCCCCAGGAUCCGAAGAAGUCCGAGGGAAUCGAAGGGAAAGCUGCCUUGAUAAGGCCGGACGGGGAGUCAGACGGCCGAAAUGGCGCGCCCUGCAGGCUGGGACUAGACACUCUGACCUCAGCUUCGUCUCUGAUGGCCUUGCAGGUGUUCGCUCCCCACUGGAGUCCCGGGAUGUGUGCGGUCCCCACCCAGAGACCAGAGGGCUGAACCCGGAUCCCCGGAUCCUAAAGGUGUUCACCCCUGCCCAUCCCGUUAUUCCAGAUACCAGAAUCCGAGCUCUAAUGGGAAAACGCCCUGAUCAUGGCUGCUUUGGCUUGGCACAAAGGAAAAUGGGACAUGAACCUGCAUCCACUCCCUUCCGGACUCCGCACAAUGAAAGAUAACUACCUCUAAAAUUGGGAGACAGCAGCUGUUCAUACAUUUCUUCAUUAAAUAAACACCGGGAUACCUGCUGAUUGAAACCA